UGGUUCAGUGGGUAAGAGCACUGGCUUCUAUUUCAGAGAACCUGGGUUCAAUUCCCAG
rnacentral:tRNA from 1 species